CCACAAUGGACGAAAGUCUGAUGGAGCGACGCCGCGUGAUUGAUGAAGUCCCUCUGGGACGUAAAGAUCUUUUAUGAGGGAAGAAGUUUAUUGACGGUACCUCAUGAAUAAGAGGCUCCUAAUCUCGUGCCAGCAGGAGCGGUAAUACGAGAGCCUCGAGCGUUAUCCGGAAUUAUUGGGCGUAAAGGGUGCGUAGGUUGUUCUGUUAGUCUUUUGUCAAAGCCCCGAACUUAACUUGGGAUAAUGCGGAAGAAACGGCAGAACUUGAAAGUGCGAGAGGCGUACGGAACUCAUGGUGUAGGGGUGAAAUCCGUUGAUAUCAUGGGGAACACAAAUGCGAAGGCAGUACGCUGGCGCAUAUUUGACACUGAAGCACGAAAGCGUGGUAGCGAAUGGGAUUAG
rnacentral:rRNA from 1 species